CGACUGGCGCGUGCCUAAUACAUGGCAAGUCGAACGCACUCUCGUUUAGAUUGAAGGAGACUUGCUCCUGAUUGAUAAACAUUUGAGUGAGUGGCGGACGGGUGAGUAACACGUGGGUAACCUGCCCUAAAGUGGGGGAUAACAUUUGGAAACAGAUGCUAAUACCGCAUAAAACCUAACACCGCAUGGUGUAGGGUUGAAAGAUGGUUUCGGCUAUCACUUUAGGAUGGACCCGCGGUGCAUUAGUUAGUUGGUGAGGUAAAGGCUCACCAAGACCGUGAUGCAUAGCCGACCUGAGAGGGUAAUCGGCCACACUGGGACUGAGACACGGCCCAGACUCCUACGGGAGGCAGCAGUAGGGAAUCUUCCACAAUGGACGAAAGUCUGAUGGAGCAACGCCGCGUGAGUGAAGAAGGUUUUCGGAUCGUAAAACUCUGUUGUUGGAGAAGAAUGUAUCUGAUAGUAACUGAUCAGGUAGUGACGGUAUCCAACCAGAAAGCCACGGCUAACUACGUG
rnacentral:rRNA from 1 species